GAUGAACGCUGGCGGUAUGCCUAUGCACAUGCAAGUCGUACGAGGGUUUUUAACUCUAGUGGCGGACGGGUGAGUAACACGCGAGAAUUUGCCUUUAGGAGGGGGAUAACAAUCGGAAACGAAUGCUAAUACCCCAUAUGCUUUCGAGUGAAACGGAUUUAUCCGCCUAAAGAGAAGCUCGCGGCUGAUUAGCUUGUUGGUAAGGUAAGAGCUUACCAAGGCGACGAUCAGUAUCUGGUUUGAGAGGACGAUCAGACACACUGGAACUGAGACACGGUCCAGACUCCUACGGGAGGCAGCAGUGGGGAAUUUUCCGCAAUGGGCGAAAGCCUGACGGAGCAAUACCGCGUGAGGGAAGACUGCCUAUGGGUUGUAAACCUCUUUUUUCAGGGAGGAAUAAAAUGACGUGUACCUGAAGAAUCAGCAUCGCU
rnacentral:rRNA from 1 species